rnacentral:rRNA from 1 species
UAAGGAAUAUUGGACAAUGGGCGGAAGCCUGAUCCAGCCAUCCCGCGUGGAGGAUGACGGCCCUCUGGGUUGUAAACUCCUUUUAUAUACCAAGAAACGCCUUUACGUGUAAGGGUUUGACGGUAGUAUAUGAAUAAGCACCGGCUAACUCCGUGCCAGCAGCCGCGGUAAUACGGAGGGUGCAAGCGUUAUCCGGAAUUACUGGGUUUAAAGGGUGCGUAGGCGGUUUAAUAAGUCAGUGGUGAAAAGUCUGGGCUCAACCGAGGCCUUGCCAUUGAAACUGUUAAACUUGAAAUAAGUUAAGGUAGGCGGAAUGUGACAUGUAGCGGUGAAAUGCAUAGAUAUGUCAUAGAACACCAAUUGCGAAGGCAGCUUACUGGACUUUAUUUGACGCUGAGGCACGAAAGCGUGGGGAGCGAACGGGAUUAGAUACCCGCGUAGUCC